AUACGUAGGUGGCAAGCGUUGUCCGGAUUUACUGGGCGUAAAGGGUGCGUAGGCGGCCAUAUAAGUCAGGUGUGAAAAACCACGGCUUAACCGAGGUAUUGCACAUGAAACUGUAUGGCUUGAGUACAGGAGAGGAAAGUGGAAUUCCUAGUGUAGCGGUGAAAUGCGUAGAGAUUAGGAAGAACACCAGUGGCGAAGGCGGCUUUCUGGACUGUAACUGACGCUGAGGCACGAAAGCGUGGAGAGCAAACAGGAGUAGAUACCCUGGUAGUCCACGCUGUAAACGAUGGAUACUAGGUGUAGGGGUUUAAAGACUUCAGUGCCGGAGUUAACGCAAUAAGUAUCCCGCCUGGGGAGUACGGCCGCAAGGCUGAA
rnacentral:rRNA from 1 species